AGCCGUAUUGGAUACUCUAAUGAAGCUAGUACAUGUCAUGAGUAGUCAUGAGUUUCUUUAAUUGCUAAUAAUGUGCCCAACAACUUUUGUAAAGAUAAAUGUUUUCUUACGAUCAUUAGCCACACCAGGCUGCAUUUGAUAUUUACUGAAGUUAUUGUUGUUACAAAAGAUGCAAUCCACCGCUGAAAUAAUCAAGAAGUUGGGUAAGUUACAUUCAAAUUUUACAAAACAUCAUCAGUUUCAUCAUCACAAAAUUUAGAAGUACAAUUCAUUUCUCAUAACUGAAUUGAAUGUUUCAUGCUUGAAUCAAGCCAAGAAAAAUCCUGUUUGACGGGAGGCACAGGUUCGACGAUAGAUACUUGAAGUGAACACCAGUGCUAUAGCUGCUCUCCACUCAAUUGGAGAAUAUGUUGUAAGUAGCCGAAUUCAUUUAUGUGACAAUAGGGAGUAUGUUUUUCAAUUCAACAACUUUGAGUUCCAAAUACAGGACCUACAAUUUAUCACAAGACAUUCGCCCGCAAAUUUAUGUUCUUUUAGCUGCAAACUUCAUACUGGGAUCAAUCCGGUGCAAUUCAUGUGGGAUAAUGUUUGCAGACUACCCCUCAUACCAAUAUGCUGAUUAAUCAAUUCUGAGUUUUUUUGGAAUCAUAGGCUCUUUCUCCGUGGAUGCCGCUACUACUCAUUAAGUCACACACUGUAAUGAUGGUCUUUUUAAAUUUCUCUUCCAUGAAGAAAAACCUGUAACUCUACAUAUAUCGUGACAACUUUGAAUGCCCUCUACUUCUAUUGUGACUCUUUCAGGUCAUGAUAUUGAAGAGAUCAGAGUUGGGGCACUGAACAACAUUCUCAUGAAAUUAAACUGCCAUGUCCUGACAGUUGAGGAUUUGACCGAAAAUCAUGAAUUGUUCAUAAAACCCAUCAAUUGGUUCAAGUUUCCAGUAUGUACCGAAAAGGAAAAAGUAUUGGAAUUGGUAUUAACUCUAGCCAAGACAGACAGACCAUGUCUAACAAACCUAAGGUUUUCUCUGGCCCAAGCGAAGCCCAGUCAACCAAUGAGUCCAGAAAGUCUAAGUAGUAGUUCAGUGCACAGGAAAGAUGUCUCCUCUAAGAAACAAAAAAGUGACCCAGCUAUUUUCUCAGAACCUAGUGCUUCAGUUUCCGAAAGACCCAAUUUAUAUCAGCAAAACAGGGGUGCACGCCUGAAAGCAGAGCCAUUCUCAGCAAGAUCUUCUGGAUCAUCGAAGACUGCAAAAUCAAAAAGCUCAAUAGAAGGUAGACUAUCAAAUCAUUUAUCAUACUCUUCUCAGCAGGACCAGUCAGUAUGAAUCUUUAAAUCGAUAGCUGAAGUUGAAUAAUGUGUAUCGCUGAUUUUUCGUCGCAAGUAUCAACUUAGGUUUUGUUUCGUUAAGGAUACUAAUGAGAGGUUUUUCUUCAAUAUUUUUGUCCGUUUUUUUGCACUCGUUCUAAAAUAUUCACAAAAAUACAUCUAACAAAUGUCUGGAUUAGUUUCUCUUUAAAAAAUGAAACAGGAUCAGAGAUUUUUAAAUGUUGUGAUAGAGCAGGUACA
rnacentral:lncRNA from 1 species